AAUGAGAUUAUUCUAUCAAUAUUAAUAAAAUAUUAGUGUUUCCGAUAACCUUUUGUUCGAUAAUUUUGUGCUUUUUGUAAGACUUGUGAUUGCGUAGUAAAUCGCGAAAACAAUAACUCCACUCAUAAUAAUAUUAUUGUAUUAUCAAAACCGAAAACGGACGUUACUCGAUACUCGCAUUAUGCCACAAUACUCGAUUUUCGAUAACUAUU